GGAAUAUUGCACCAUGGGGGAAACCCUGAUGCAGCAACGCCGCGGGAGUGAAGAAGUAUUUCGGUAUGUAAAGCCCUAUCAGCAGGGAAGAAGAAAGACGGUACCUGACUAAGAAGCCCCGGCUAACUACGUGCCAGCAGCCGCCGUAAUACGUAGGGGGCAAGCGUUAUCCGGAUUUACUGGGUGUAAAGGGAGCGUAGACGGCUGUGCAAGUCUGAAGUGAAAGCCCGUGGCUCAACCGCGGAACUGCUUUGGAAACUGUAUAGCUUGAGUACUGGAGAGGCAGGCGGAAUUCCUAGUGUAGCGGUGAAAUGCGUAGAUAUUAGGAGGAACACCAGUGGCGAAGGCGGCUUACUGGACUGUAACUGACGUUGAGGCUCGAAAGCGUGGGGAGCAAACAG
rnacentral:rRNA from 1 species